rnacentral:rRNA from 1 species
AUUGAACGCUGGCGGCAGGCCUAACACAUGCAAGUCGAGCGGGAUUUACCUUCGGGUAAUGAGAGCGGCGGACGAGUGAGUAAUGCUUGGGAAUCUACCUAGUAGUGGGGGACAACAGUUGGAAACGACUGCUAAUACCGCAUACGCCCUACGGGGGAAAGGGGGGGAUCUUCGGACCUCUUGCUAUUAGAUGAGCCCAAGUCGGAUUAGCUAGUUGGUGGGGUAAAGGCCUACCAAGGCGACGAUCCGUAGCUGGUUUGAGAGGAUGAUCAGCCACAGUGGGACUGGGACACGGCCCAGACUCCUACGGGAAGCAGCAGUGGGGAAUAUUGGACAAUGGGCGCAAGCCUGAUCCAGCCAUGCCGCGUGUGUGAAGAAGGCCCUAGGGUCGUAAAGCACUUUAAGUAGGGAGGAAGGUCUGGUAAUUAAUACUUAUCAGGAUUGACGUUACCUACAGAAUAAGCACCGGCUAACUCCGUGCCAGCCGCCGCCGUAA